UCAGCUCUCAUUGCCUUUUGGCUUUGAUCAAGUGUAGCAACUGUUCUUCUUUAGCCUGACAGCUAAGACACCCCUACGGGGGGAAGACUAAUGACACCACUUUUUGGGCUCGGGCACUGGGAAGCGCUGGGCUCCGCUCAUCUUCCUGGCGCAAAGUGUCGCCUGUAUUGCACUACUUCGGGCUGACGCGACGAGCA
rnacentral:snRNA from 1 species